CGUUUAGAUUUUAGGGUUUAGAGUUGAAGGUUUAGGGUUUAGAGUUUAGAGUUGAUGUUUUAGGGUUUAGAGUUGAUGUUUUAGGGUUUAGAGUUGAUGUUUUAGGGUUUAGGGUAAUUUUAGGGUUUAAGGUUUAGAGUUUACCUUUUAGGGUUUUGGGUUUAGUGCUGAUAGUUUAGGGUUUAGUGUUGAUGGUUUAGGGUUUAGAGUUCAAGUUUAGUGUUUAGGGUUUAGAGUUGAUGUUUUAGGGUUUAGAGUUGAAGGUUUAGGGUUUAGGGUUUAGAAUUGAUGUUUCGGGGUUUAGGGUUUAGAGUUGAUGUUUCAGGGUUUAGGGUUCGUAUUUCAAAAAAAAAUAGGGUUUAGGAUUGAUGGUUUAGGGUUCGUAUUUUAAAAAAAAAAGGUUUAGCAUUGGUGGUUUAGGGUUAAGAGUUGAGUUUUAGGGUUUAUGGUUUAAAUUUCGAAAUAGUAUAAUUGGAAGAAAACUAAAAAAAAUAUUUUUUAUUUUUUUAGCUUUUUAUUUAUUUAAAUAUUUAUUUAUUAUAUAUAUAAAGAACAAGGGUAUAAGAGUCUUUUGCCACUUAAUGAAGAAUGUAUUUUUGAAAAUGUCCCUUUAGUGGUGGUAAAA
rnacentral:lncRNA from 1 species